rnacentral:lncRNA from 1 species
AGGGAAUCACAGAGAGGAUUGGCAGUAACUCCCAGAAUAGGUGAGAAGCCUGGAAAAUCGACUUUUAGAUAUGGGGUUAAUAAUAGUAAAUGGGGUUAGCAUGUACAUGAGGCACAUGAUUACUGUGUAUUAUACACAAUUAGUAUAUACUGUCAUUAGCAUGGUUAAUUUUGAAGGUAUACUGAGUUGUCACUUACAUUUGCAAUAGCAUUCUGAACAGGUCAUCCUGGGGAAGGUAGAGAU